UCCUGGCUCAGGAUGAACGCUGGCGGCGUGNUUAACACAUGCAAGUCGAACGAUGAUCCGGUGCUUGCAUCGGGGAUUAGUGGCGAACGGGUGAGUAACACGUGAGUAACCUGCCCUUGACUCUGGGAUAAGCCUGGGAAACUGGGUCUAAUACCGGAUAUGANUCCUCAUCGCAUGGUGGGGGGUGGAAAGCUUUUGUGGUUUUGGAUGGACUCGCGGCNUAUCAGCUUGUUGGUGAGGUAAUGGCUCACCAAGGCGACGACGGGUAGCCGGCCUGAGAGGGUGACCGGCCACACUGGGACUGAGACACGGCCCAGACUCCUACGGGAGGCAGCAGUGGGGAAUAUUGCACAAUGGGCGAAAGCCUGAUGCAGCGACGCCGCGUGAGGGAUGACGGCCUUCGGGUUGUAAACCUCUUUCAGUAGGGAAGAAGCGAAAGUGACGGUACCUGCAGAAGAAGCGCCGGCUAACUACGUGCCAGCAGCCGCGGUAAUACGUAGGGCGCAAGCGUUAUCCGGAAUUAUUGGGCGUAAAGAGCUCGUAGGCGGUUUGUCGCGUCUGCCGUGAAAGUCCGGGGCUCAACUCCGGAUCUGCGGUGGGUACGGGCAGACUAGAGUGAUGUAGGGGAGACUGGAAUUCCUGGUGUAGCGGUGAAAUGCGCAGAUAUCAGGAGGAACACCGAUGGCGAAGGCAGUCCUCUGGGCAUUAACUGACUCNAAGGAGGGCAAGCAUGGGA
rnacentral:rRNA from 1 species